rnacentral:rRNA from 1 species
UACGGGAGGCAGCAGUGAGGAAUAUUGGUCAAUGGGCGUAAGCCUGAGCCAGCCAAGUAGCGUGCAGGAUGACGGCCCUAUGGGUUGUAAACUGCUUUUAUACGGGGAUAAAGUGCGCCACGUGUGGUGUUUUGCAGGUACCGUAUGAAUAAGGACCGGCUAAUUCCGUGCCAGCAGCCGCGGUAAU